rnacentral:rRNA from 1 species
CCUACGGGGGGCAGCAGUGGGGAAUAUUGCACAAUGGGGGAAACCCUGAUGCAGCGACGCCGCGUGAGUGAAGAAGUAUCUCGGGACGUAAAGCUCUAUCAGCAGGGAAGAUAAUGACGGUACCUGACCAAGAAGCCCCGGCUAACUACGUGCCAGCAGCCGCGGUAAUACGGAGGGGGCAAGCGUUAUCCGGAUUUACUGGGUGUAAAGGGAGCGUAGACGGCAGCACAAGUCUGGAGUGAAAUCCCAGGGCUUAACCCCGGAACUGCUUUGGAAACUAUGAGGCUGGAGUGCAGGAGGGGUAAGCGGAAUUCCUGGUGUAGCGGUGAAAUGCGUAGAUAUUAGGAGGAACACCGGUAGCGAAGGCGGCAUACUGGACUGUAACUGACGUUGAGGCUCGAAAGCGUGGGGAGCAAACAGGAUUAGAUACCCGAGUAGUC